rnacentral:misc_RNA from 1 species
GCGGCCGGCCAUUAAAAUUCUUCUUCAGUAGAGCUUUUAACCUCCGUUGUCGCUGCAUAUCACUGAAGACGCGCAUCACGUCCAAGAUGGCGGCCGAUUCUCAACAACAGCAGACGAUAAUUUUCAGAGAGGUUUCACCGCACGGGGAAGCUGUUCCUGUCAUCAAAAUGGUUAUGAAUUGGAUCUGUCAAUGCCCUGAACUUUGCAGGACCGAAUGGCUGUCCUCGCCGGCGAGGAAGACAAACCUACACCCGAUUCCAGACGCUGGAACUUGAGAAGGAAUUUCACUUCAACCACUACUUAAC